CUUUGAACCGAUCCUUUCCCGAAAGAAGGCGUUCCGACUAACACUGCCCGUUUAUGAUCUUGUAAAGCACCGGCGACAAUUUCCGAGGCCGACGCCGAUCCUUCGUUAAUGAUGACAACGACCGGCAACCCGUUUGUUAAAUCGCCUUUGGUCGCCGACAACCGCAUCGUUUCUUCGGCAAUGCGAGAACGUGUCGAAACAAUUUCCCCUUCAUCCAGGAAUGUAUCCGUUACGCCGACGGCUUGUUCCAACAGUCCGCCCGGAUUGUUGCGCA
rnacentral:ncRNA from 1 species